rnacentral:tRNA from 1 species
GAGAGGGUUUGACUAGGCUGCUAACCCGGUAUCCCAAAAUUAGCCUUUUGGCCCCCUCCA